UUUGUGUUUGUGGGCAGGAAGGAAACGCCCAUCACCAAGCUUAAGACAGCAGACAAGAAAAGUCCCUCCACCAAAACCCCAAGCAAACUUUACAGUGA